GCGGGGCCAAAUAGCGCGGAAACGGCGCUUUGUUUUGUUUGUUUUUCUUAGGUGAAAAGCAGCACAAAUGUCGAGGGUAAAAGGAGAAACGUAUGGAGAAAGGAUAACGGGAUAGAGCUGUAGUCAAUCGUUCUCGUGCCUCGCCCUGAGCUAGGUAGUGUUCCGGCGCCUUGCACUGCGGGGCGGGCGCAGGCGCCGCCUUUAAAAAGGGCUUCUGCCGUGCGUGGCACGGGGGGGCCUCGCGCCGCCCCCGCGGAAUCGACAUCAAGAGAUUUCGGAAGCACAAUUUUUGUGAGGGGGGGCCCGCCGGUAACCGCCUGUUCCGGCGCCCCGACACGGCCGCGGUCAACGACAGACACGGGGGGAACGGGAUGGGAGCGAAUCCCUGAUGGGACACCGGGAGAGCCAUGGUCCCGGACCCCCUGGGGCGGGAGAGGGACCGUCGCUGGAGCAAUAGCUGAUGCGGAAUGAUCCCGGACCGGCAGGAUGAUUCCUGUGACAGCCCGGGCAUGCGGGAUGAUCGCUGUGACACCCCAGACCGGCAGGAGCAGAAGGACCAUCCCUGUAAAACGCCGGACAAGCGGGAUGGUCCCUGCAACACCCUGAACCGGCGGGAGCAGAAGGUGGGAUGGUCCCUGUGACACCCUGAAACGGCGGGAGCAGAAGGUGGGAUGGUCCCUGUGACACCCUGAACCGGUGGGAGCAGAAGGUGGGAUGGUCCCUGUGACACCCUGAACCGGUGGGAGCAGAAGGUGGGAUGGUCCCUGUGACACCCUGAACCGGCGGGAGCAGAAGGUGGGAUGGUCCCUGUGACACCCUGAACCGGAGGGAGCAGAAGGUGGGAUGGUCCCUGUGACACCCUGAACCGGUGGGAGCAGAAGAACCAUCGCGGUGACGCCUCAGGCCGGAGCGAUCACCACCCCUGUGACACCCCGGACCCGGCUGGAUGAUUCAGGACGAUCGCUGUGACACCCCGCACCAGCGGGAGGAGCACAUACAUACAUCUAUCUAUAUAAAUAUAUAUAAUAUAUAUAUUUAAAUAGGAUUAUUCUUAAAAAAAGCCCUCCGGGGCCCGCGGGGAAGCUCCCUCCCCCGCACAACCCCCCUGCCCUCCCGGUACCGUGCUCCCCCCUCCUCACAAGGCUUCGUGAUACACGUGUGCGAGGGGACAGUCCCCGCGGGACCCCUCGGGGCAGGGGCUGCCAGUCCGCUCCUCCCCGGGCCGCGGGGCGGGGGUCCGGUACCGCACCGGGGGGCACCCGGGGGGCCCCGCGAUGCCGCAGGGGCUGCGGCGCGGCCCGGGGGGCUCGGGCUCGCUGAAGGGGGUGGCGUACUCGGGCUCCGGGGGCAGCGGCUCGGCGUACUCGUGGUGCUUGCCCGGCACGUCGUAGUGGCUCAGCACCAGCGGCAGCGUGUAGCCCUCGUCCAGGAGCGGCUUGAAGGUGGAGGGACCUGUCUGGCUGCUGGGGCUCACCUGCACCAGGUCUGGCUCGGCAUACUCUGAAACGGGGCUGCGCUGUCAGGGGGGUUGCGGAGCUGGGAUAGGUGGGUGGGGUGGGUUGAAUAGAAGUGGGUGCGUUUGGACCCCCCCAGGGCUGGGAAAAGCUGUGGCAAAACCAGGGGCGGGAUGCCCACCCCAUGGACCCCACAUCCCUCUGCCCCGGCACAGAGAAGGGCUCCUGGUGCCACCUGGCCCCCCUCCAAUACCCACAGCUGUGACUGAGGGUAUUAUUAUUAUUAUUAUUAUUAUUAUUAUUAUUAUUACCACCAUCAGAUAUUAUUAUUAAUAUUAUUAUCGUUGUUAUUUAUUACCCUUAUUAUUGUUAUUGUUGUUAUUGUUAUUUAGUAUUAUAGCUGUUAUUUAUUACCCUUAUUAUUGUUAUUUUAUUGUUCCUAUUAUUAUUACUAGUAUAGUUAUUGCUGUUAUUAUCAUCAUAGUUAUCAGUUAUUAUCCUUGUUUUUAUUAUUUAUUGUUAUUUAUUAUUAUUUUAUUAUUCUGUUGUUAUUAUUAUCAUUACUACUACUAUUUUAAAGUAAUAAGCCC